CUUUACUGUAACUUGAAAUUGAAAUUGGACUUUAUUCGCGCAGUAUAGGUGGGAGGCGUUGAUUAUAAUCUUGCGGGAUUAUUGGAGCCAUCAGUGAGAUACCACUCUUGUAAUGUUAGAUUUCUAACUUUGAAUCAUGAUCUGGUCAAAGAACAGUUUCAGGCGGGCAGUUUGACUGGGGCGGUCGCCUCCUAAACGGUAACGGAGGCGUACAAAGGUUUCCUCUGAACGGGUAGAAAUCGUAUCUAGAGUGUAAAGGCAUAAGGAAGCUUGACUGUGAGACCUACAAGUCGAGCAGGGACGAAAGUCGGUCUUAGUGAUCUGACGGUACUGAGUGGAAAGGCCGUCACUCAACGGAUAAAAGUUA
rnacentral:rRNA from 1 species